GGGCGCAAGCCUGAUCCAGCCAUUCCGCGUGCAGGACGAAGGCCUUCGGGUUGUAAACUGCUUUUGUACGGAACGAAAANGUUUCNGUUAAUACCAGGGNUNCAUGACGGUACCGUAAGAAUAAGCACCGGCUAACUACGUGCCAGCAGCCGCGGUAAUACGUAGGGUGCNAGCGUUAAUCGGAAUUACUGGGCGUAAAGCGUGCGCAGGCGGUCUUGUAAGACAGAUGUGAAAUCCCCGGGCUCAACCUGGGAACUGCAUUUGUGACUGCAAGGCUAGAGUGCGGCAGAGGGGGAUGGAAUUCCGCGUGUAGCAGUGAAAUGCGUAGAUAUGCGGAGGAACACCGAUGGCGAAGGCAAUCCCCUGGGCCUGCACUGACGCUCAUGCACGAAAGCGUGGGGAGCAAACAGGAUUAGAUACCCUGGUAGUCCACGCCCUAAACGAUGUCAACUGGUUGUUGGGUCUUCACUGACUCNGUNNNG
rnacentral:rRNA from 1 species